rnacentral:rRNA from 1 species
CUUUUUCUUUCCCGGAGCUUGCUCCCCGAAAGAAAAAGAGUGGCGAACGGGUGAGUAACACGUGGGUAACCUGCCCAUCAGAAGGGGAUAACACUUGGAAACAGGUGCUAAUACCGUAUAACACUAUUUUCCGCAUGGAAGAAAGUUGAAAGGCGCUUUUGCGUCACUGAUGGAUGGACCCGCGGUGCAUUAGCUAGUUGGUGAGGUAACGGCUCACCAAGGCAACGAUGCAUAGCCGACCUGAGAGGGUGAUCGGCCACACUGGGACUGAGACACGGCCCAGACUCCUACGGGAGGCAGCAGUAGGGAAUCUUCGGCAAUGGACGAAAGUCUGACCGAGCAACGCCGCGUGAGUGAAGAAGGUUUUCGGAUCGUAAAACUCUGUUGUUAGAGAAGAGCAAGGAUGAGAGUAGAACGUUCAUCCCUUGACGGUAUCUAACCAGAAAGCCACGGCUAACUACGUGCCAGCAGCCGCGGUAAUACGUAGGUGGCAAGCGUUGUCGGGAUUUAUUGGGCGUAAAGCGAGCGCAGGCGGUUUCUUAAGUCUGAUGUGAAAGCCCCCGGCUCAACCGGGGAGGGUCAUUGGAAACUGGGAGACUUGAGUGCAGAAGAGGAGAGUGGAAUUCCAUGUGUAGCGGUGAAUGCGUAGAUAUAUGGAGGAACCCAGUGGCGAGGCGGCUCUCUGGUCUGAACUGACCUGAGCUCGAAGCG